CGAGGGGACGGCGGAGCGCUACAGGACCAGGUCGAGUUCCUACAGUCAUAUGGCAGCUCCCAGCCCCACACAUGGCGCUGUGAUGUGGGGCCACUCGCUCAGCUCCCCCAGCCUGUUGGAUCCCACCGAGCCCCCCCCGGCCCCACAGAAGCCCGUUCGCUCCCAUUGGGGCCGGGUGAAGGUUCUUCUCACCCGUCUGACCCGUCGCUCCCUGCGGGGCCGCUGACCCACGGCUGCCCCAUAGCGCAGCGCCCCACAUGGCACAGCUCAGUGUGGGGCCGGAACCACCCCACACCACGACCCCCAGCCCUGACCAUAACCCCAUCCCUCACCCCAUAGCCCUGACCCCAACCCCAACCCUGACCUUAACCCCAAC